rnacentral:lncRNA from 1 species
CAUGCCUUUGGCAUGCAGAAACUCCCGGGUCAGGGACUGAACCCAUGCCACAUCAGAAUGCAUAGCUUUCCUUUUCUUAAUUUCCAUUAAGAAUAAAGCUGAGGAGUUCCCAUCGUGGCGCAGUGGUUAACGAAUCCAACUAGGAACCAUGAGGUUGAGGGUUCGGUCCCUGCCCCUGCUCAGUGGGUUAACGAUCCGGUGUUGCCUUGAGCUGUGGUGUAGGUUGCAGACGCGGGAUUGAACCAGCAACCUCAUGGUUACUAGUCUGAUUCGUUUCCACUGUGCCACAACAGCAACUCAUCUUUAAAUGCUAAUUUAACCUACUGGGACUACAUCUAAAAUUGACAGAAGAGGAAUAAUACUUAUAAACAGCAGUGCAUGAAAUUUUCAGUAGAAGACUGUAUGUGUAACAUUUUAUGUAGUACAUGGGAGCUGUAAACUAGUUACUAGAAUCUACAACUGUACAACUCAAAGUGUAAACUAAGGAUCUAUAUUCAGAGAAAAUAGGAAGGGAUAUGAAAUCAAGGGAUAUGAUAGAAAUCAUCAUAUGAAGAAAAUGUGAAUAAUGAUAUCUGAUUAAUGUAACUUGUUUACCACCAAACCACAAUUUCAGGAGGAAAGAAAUAUAUUAUUAAUGAAUAGAACCUCCUCCCAAUUCUUUCUGGAAACUGUGGGUAUUAGGCAAGCAAUAAGUAAUGGGGUAACACUAUGGGUAAUAAGUAAAUAAAGUAGUGUUGGCAUUUUUUGAGCAAACUUGAUUAACCAUUCUGUCCAUGAAACUGUAUCAUGCUGACGUUAUUCAAAUAUUUUCUAAAGAUAUUAAACUACAUAGGUAAUAACAAAGUGACGUAAGGGAUAAUCGACUUUUGGGAAGUUUGUUUGAAAGGCUAGAAGGUUAUCGGGUAUGGCACUGAUAAUCUAAUGGAGGAAAAUAUUUCUUUCAAAGACGACCAUAGUUACUUUCAAAUUUAGCAUGACAGUUUUUCCCUGCAUUUACCUUUUACCUGCUUCACUUCCAGUGAAUUCACAUCUGAACUCAUGACUGUUUGGACUUCCAAAAUAGAGAAUGUAUACUACACAUUUUUUUUCAUUUUUAUAAAUUAAAAUUAUCUAUUUUCAUUCUUAUCAAUUUCUUUUGUCAAAUGAAAACAUCUUUAAUUGGAGUGAUUUCCAUCUUCCGAAGGUCAAUUGGCAAAAGACUGGUUAAAUUAUCUGUGCAUUUGCUUAAAUGAAAGGAAAAUGCUAU